rnacentral:rRNA from 1 species
GCGAAUGGUGGAUGCCUUGACUGGUAAAGGCGAUGAAGGACGUACUAGACUGCGAUAAGCUACGGGGAGCUGUCAAGAAGCUUUGAUCCGUAGAUUUCCGAAUGGGGCAACCCAAUGUAUAGAGAUAUACAUUACCUAUAUAGGAGCGAACGAGGGGAAUUGAAACAUCUUAGUACCCUCAGGAAAAGAAAUCAAUAGAGAUUGCGUCAGUAGCGGCGAGCGAAAGCGCAAGAGGGCAAACCCAGUGCUUGCACUGGGGGUUGUAGGACUGCAAUGUGCAAGAGGUAAGUUUAGCAGAACAUUCUGGAAAGUAUAGCCAUAGAGGGUGAUAGUCCCGUAUGCGAAAAACAAACCUUAGCUAGCAGUAUCCUGAGUAGGGCGGGACACGAGGAAUCCUGUCUGAAUCCGGGUCGACCACGAUCCAACCCUAAAU